GAUGAAGAACGCAGCGAAAUGCGAUAAGUAAUGUGAAUUGCAGAAUUCAGUGAAUCAUCGAAUCUUUGAACGCACCUUGCGCCCUUUGGCCAUUCCGAAGGGCAUGCCUGUUUGAGUAUCAUGAACACCUCAACUCUUCAUGGUUUUCCAUGAUGAGCUUGGACUUUGGGGGUCUUGCUGGCCUGUGGGUCGGCUCCUCUCAAAUGAAUCAGCUUGCCGGUUUUUGGUGGCAUCACAGGUGUGAUAACUAUCUACGCUUGUGGUUUUCCACCAGGGUAACCUUCAGCAGUGGAGGUUCACUGGAGCUUACAAAUGUCUCUCCUCUGUGAGGACAGCCCUUUGAAUGUUUGAUCUCAAAUCAGGUAGGACUACCCGCUGAACUUAAGCAUAUCAAUAAGCGGAGGA
rnacentral:misc_RNA from 1 species